rnacentral:rRNA from 1 species
GACGAACGCUGGCGGCGUGCUUAACACAUGCAAGUCGAACGGAAAGGCCCUGCUUUUGUGGGGUGCUCGAGGGGCGAACGGGUGAGUAACACGUGAGUAACCUGCCCUUCACUUUGGGAUAACUUCAGGAAACUGGGGCUAAUACCGGAUAGGAGCUGCCGCUGCAUGGUGGGGGGUGGAAAGUUUCGGCGGUUGGGGAUGGAUUCGCGGCUUGUCAGCUUGUUGGUGGGGUAGUGGCUUACCAAGGCUUUGACGGGUAGCCGACCUGAGAGGGUGACCGGCCACCUUGGGCCUACGGUAGGGCCCAGACUGCAACGGGAGACAGCGGUCGGGAGCAUUGUACAACGGGACGAAGCCGGUUAAAGAAACCCCGCGUGCGGAAUGCCGGCUUGUGGGUUGUAAACAGCUUUAGCCUGUGACGAAGCGUGAGUGACGGUACCGGGUAAAGAAGCACCGGCUAACUACGUG